rnacentral:rRNA from 1 species
AUUGAACGCUGGCGGCAGGCCUAACACAUGCAAGUCGAACGGUAACAGGAAACAGCUUGCUGUUUCGCUGACGAGUGGCGGACGGGUGAGUAAUGUCUGGGAAACUGCCUGAUGGAGGGGGAUAACUACUGGAAACGGUAGCUAAUACCGCAUAACGUCGCAAGACCAAAGAGGGGGACCCUCGGGCCUCUUUCCAUCGGAUGUGCCCAGAUGGGAUUAGCUUGUUGGUGGGGUAACGGCUCACCAAGGCGACGAUCCCUAGCUGGUCUGAGAGGAUGACCAGCCACACUGGAGCUGAGACACGGUCCAGACUCCUACGGGAGGCAGCAGUGGGGAAUAUUGCACAAUGGGCGCAAGCCUGAUGCAGCCAUGCCGCGUGUAUGAAGAAGGCCUUCGGGUUGUAAAGUACUUUCAGCGGGGAGGAAGGGAGUAAAGUUAAUACCUUUGCUCAUUGACGUUACCCGCAGAAGAAGCACCGGCUAACUCCGUG